AGUUCCGUGGUGAAAUGUCAUGUUGAAUUGCAAAUUCAAAGAAGCAGCUUCAAUUCUGCCGAGACUU
rfam:Sus scrofa chromosome 2.